GCCCCCGGGGCGUGAGGACAACGGGGAUAUGCUUUUGAUUUUGCAACUGGUGCCCCAUGCGGACGAUUUCCGUGCGUAUGUAUCAUGGAACCUUGCAGAUAUCGGGGGUGUAAUUGGUGACUGCUGUAGUUCGGGAUAGGCCAUUGAAAGUUGGUGAAGAAAAGGGAGGACAAAAUAGUUUUCUUAUCUUAUCUCCACGUGAUUCGGCUUGGUUCCAGCCAUGUUUCCGUUCUAGAAGGCAGAGAGAACAACUUCCAUAAACAUUCGUUGAAUUGGACUUUCUUUCUAUUCACUCUAGUCAUACAUACAUACAUAUGGCAAAACUCAACAAUCCCAACUGCGAGCUGCAGACUCGAACCAGGCGCGGCCAUACCAGACUCAGCCAGCAUAUAUAUCCCGUCUAAAUGGGUCGGAACCCCGGCAAAAAACAAUCCCUCAGGGGCCCUGAACAUAGAAUCGUUGUUACACCUGAGGCACGAAGUGGUGCGUGCUGACCUCCAACAACAUAUCGACACAAGAGGCCAGGCUCCUAAGAAAAGGGUAAACAACUGCUCUUACAAGGGGAUACGGAAGUGGCGGCAACUGGCGAACGAGUGCCGGGUAUCCGCGCCACCACCGGCAUUACCAUGUGUGUGUGGAUCCUGUCACGCCACGCAACCGGACCAGGUGCUGUUUCUUUACCGGAGAUAACAAGGACGGGCAGCCAUAUCGCAUGAUGUUAUGUAUGUUUGUAUGGCGGGGAAAUCAGCAAAACAGAGAAAAAAAAAACAAGUUUCGCAGUCCACGUAGGGCUCAGGACAUCCAUCGUUCGCCCUUCUGCUGAUUUGAGGCAGUUUUGCCCCUUUGUCUUUUUAAAAACACACACAAAUCGCUGGCCAGUCGGCCCUGCACCAACCUCAUAGAGGAGUUGGAAAGGUAAAUUCUGAAUUCCUCUGCCCAAGACAUCUGAGAUAUGCCCAGUCUCCCACAGCGCGGAUACUUUGUAGAAGGGGAGUCGUGAGGCAUGGUACUCAUUUCUCAGGGGCAUCAGGAAGCCGCUCAAUAACAUAUUUCGCCCGCGCGACGCUCAUAAUCGGCACACCAGGGAUUUUCCUACACAGAAGUAAAAGAUGCAAGAUAAAACGUCAGAACAGUCCAUCUCAAGUAGGAAUUUUUCGUAAAAAGUACCCCCACCAAAAAAAAAAAGAAAGAAAGAAAGAAAGAAAGAAAGAAACUCACCGAAUCCUCCGCUUCAAAUCCCUAUCAUUCGUCGCCACGAUGUAAACCCGGUGCUUAAUGACGCGAUCAACCAGACAAUCGUCCGCAUACGUGCCCUUAUGGUCACACUUCAGCCUCUCGAAGCGCGGAUCCUUCGCGAUGCGCAGCGCGAUGCGGUACUUGGGGCCCAGCUUCUCCAACUCCGCCAGCACGCAGUCCGUCACGAGGGGGAUGCAUUUGGCGUACAGGCAGUCCAUCAUCGUCGGGAUGACGUCGAGCUUGUGCUGCACCGUGUGCGAGAGGAAGUUUGUGUCGACGAGGAUGGAGUAGGGGGGCGUGAGGGCCGUGUUGUAUUGGAAGAAGAGGGCGGAGGAGACUUGGGGGCUGUAUUUGGGUUUUUGUGUUAGCGGGCCGUUCGGGCAGUGGAUGGAUGGAUGGAUGGAUGGAUGGAUGGUUGUUACAUUUCGCGGACGAGGUCGUCUUUCUUCUUCUUCUCGUCCGUUCCCUUCUGCGGGGCCUUUGCCUGGUUCUGCUUUCUACGGGGUUUGGGAUAAAGAAGUUAGUUAGCUCCAAUCCGCGAGCGGCACAUUUUCUUUUUGCCCCAGGACCGAAGAUAACCUUGGUGAGGAGGAAUGACUGAGAUGAAAAAAUUAACAAAAUAAAUAACAUACAAUCGGCUAUCACGGCUACCAAUCACUCUUUUCAUCUAUAUUAUCUCAUUCAACCCGUUAACAACAACUUGAUUUUCAUUCUGCCGUUAGUAACAGACCAAACAAACACCUGAAGCAACGCACCUGAGCGAACUUGCGCGUUCGCUUCUGGAUACCCAUGGCCGUCUGGUUUCCUGUGGAAGCGGAAGAGCGAAUAGGCGGGGGACAGAUUAAAGCAGCCCUUGUUGAGCAGAAUCGAGAUUGACAGUGAUAAGUCAAAUCAAGGUUUCUCAAGGGAAUCACGAACUUUUUUUUUGCCUUUUGGAAAAACUACC
rnacentral:sRNA from 2 species